CUAAAUGUCAUCUUCAACAUCUUAAAUAAGAAGAAACACAAAACUAGAAAUAUCCACACGUGACAGCGGCACGCGCUAUAUGAGGAAAAAGGCAGCAAGCAUCAGGACCAGUUGGGAGUCAGUCACCGCUCAACCUCAGCAGCGCGCAAAACGCAGACUCACUCACCGGCUCUCAUUUUCCGCUUUAAAGAAAGCAACACAUGUGAGUUUGUUUCUACUGCGCGACGGGACGCGGACGGGACGAGCUUGAGUGAAGAAACGCAGCGCACCAAAACGGACACUUUUAGUCACUGGAGGAUCAGCGCGCUUCAUAAAAUGAUCCCAAUCGGCGACGUGAUACCAUGUCGCAUCUCGUCUGAUGUUUGACACAUUUGAGGAUCGACUAAAGAAACUGGAGGAGGACAUUACAAAGUCAGAGAAUUCAUCCCGAGCCCUGCUGGCACCUUUUUACUGGAGUCCGAACAACCGAUCGCCGUCCAGAUGCAGUUUCGACUCUUCUCAUUUGCCCUGAUCGUAUUGAACUGUAUGGAGUACAGCAACUGUCAGGCGCCGUCGCACCGCUGGAGGAGAAACAAAAGAGCAGCUAGCUAUGGAGCGUACCCCAUCUGUAAAGGCUGCUCGGUGUGCUCCAGGGACAACGGCUGUGUAAACUGCCAGCCCAAACUCUUCCUGUUUUUGCGGAGGGAGAGGAUGAGGCAGUACGGGGAGUGUCUUCACGACUGUCCAGCCGGAUACUACGGCAUGCGCAGCCCUGAACUCAACAUGUGCUCCAGGUGCAGGAUAGAGAACUGUGAGUCCUGCUUCAGCAAAGACUUCUGCACCAAGUGCAAGUCAGGUUUUUACCUACACAAAGGGCGCUGCUUUGAUAAGUGCCCCGAGGGCUUUGCCCCGCUGGAGGACACCAUGGAGUGUGGAGAGGGCUGUGAGGUGGGCCAGUGGAGCGAAUGGGGAGCCUGCACCAGGAGAAACAAAACCUGUGGCUAUAAGUGGGGUCUGGAGACCCGGACGCGGCACAUUGUAAAGAAACCACCCAAGGACACAAUACCCUGUCCCACCAUCGCUGAGUCCAGGAUGUGCAAAAUGGCCAUGAGGCACUGCAGGAGAGGGCUGUCUGAGGAACAACGUGCAUGCCACAGAGGAGGAUGUGUUCGCAUGGCCCACAUUGUUCGUGGCAGUGCUGUGUGCACUAGAGUGACUCCCUCUCCAGUGGUCUGGCUGGAGGAGAAAAGAAGGAAGGCGAGGAGCCGAACGAGGGAGCCUGAAAACAUCUGGUGCACAGUUGCACUGGCUCAGCCACCAGAAGCCCCUCUCCUCUCCUCUCCUUUCCACCCUCCUUCCCUCUCUUUCUCCAUCUCUGGUGGGCGUCUUUAUAGAGACAUCACAGCUUUUAAUUACAGCUGGUGAUUCAGACAGAGGCUGUGGCUUCUGACCCACUCAUGUCCAUGAGCGUGGACCCAGUGUACAGACAUGCAGACACAACAAAGCAGCAAGUAUAGGCCUGCCGGCCUUUGGUUGCAAGUAUGUCUGUGUGUCUGGGUGUUUUUCUGUGUGUGUGUGUGUGUGUGUGAGUGUGCGUCUGUGUGUGUGAACUUACAGUGACAAAUACAGGGGGGGAUGCAGACUAAAAGCAGAGCCAUUAUAGUGGUAAGUAGAGGCCAGAGCCAACUUACCAAGGUUGUAGAGCACUACACUCCCAUCCACACAAAUAAGCAAAACACUAAGGUGAUGUCACUGGUUAGCAAUUUCAGCUUAACCGAGCAAAUACUAGCACAAGUUAUUGACCUUAACAUGUUUUCUUACUGCAUAAAACACAAGCCCGUCUGGGAUUAUAAACGGCUUAUCUGUGAGUUGAAAGAAAAGUCACUGGUCUGGAGCCAGUAACUAUGAACAGGCAAUGUAUACACUCUGACUUAACACUUGAAUCUGCAUUAAAGCUUUUUUGGCCACUUUGGGGCAGCACACCUAACUGUAAACACAACACAGCAUAUUAUUACCUUCCAAAGUUGAUGUUGCUACCUUGUUAGCAAACAGAUGCCUAUUUACACAUCCAUGGGACAUGAAGCAACAUUAGCAUUCAUGUAUGUCAUAUUUUGAGCAGGUAGUGUACAGUGGGUUUAUUUUUUUGCUGAAAACAACUGCCUGAUGCUGCUGAAAAUGUAAAACCAAAACAAUAAGUUUAAAGAUGCUAAAAUGGGCAGUGGAGCUAAGGUGAAUUGCAGAAUCAGGUGCUAAUUAUCUCUGGGUUUAUCACUACGAGCAACACUUUCCACAUUAAACUUCUGACCCAUUGCUAAUAUACAACAUUCCUUAGAGCAGCUUUAAAAUAGAAAAUACGAUGAUACAUACAUGUUCUUUAAAAUAACCAUUUCACUGAGCAAAGUAGGCUAAAUGAAAAAAUGCCAGACAUCCUGUAAGUAAAAGUCAAGGGGAAUUAAUUCUGUAAAAUAAAAUAAUACACCAUUUUCAUAAUGCCUUUUAAGAUUUUGAGUAUUCUGUCAUGCGAGAAAUACCCAUUAUAUUGCCUUUUCAAAGGAUAUAACAUGAUGGCUCUCCAAGGAAAGUCUCAAGACAUGAUUGAGUGGUUGGUGUAAUGAAACUCAACCCAUUCCAGGUACCAUAUCAAAUCCCUUCAAACAUAAAUGCUCCUUCCCGCUGGAUGGCAAGGUUCAGGACCGGGAUCUCGACAGGCCUUGAGACAUUUCUUUUGGAUUAGUGGGAGCUUAAGUCUCACUUUGAUUUGAUUCCUUUCUCCUUCCCCGGCUGCAUCUCUGACAGAUGCUGCUGCCUUCUGGAGUACACAAACCUCUCCUCUGCAAGGUGGCUCAGGGAAGCACCGAUCCAAAGAACCAAAGAAGAAGAACAAGCAGAGGCUGCGGUUUCGGGCCCAGAACCAGCACAGUGACCACUUGGCCUCUGCGCGCACCAGCCAGUAAGGAC